rnacentral:misc_RNA from 1 species
GAAAUGCGAUAAGUAAUGUGAAUUGCAGAAUUCAGUGAAUCAUCGAAUCUUUGAACGCACAUUGCGCCCUUUGGCAUUCCGAAGGGCAUGCCUGUUCGAGCGUCAUUACACCAAUCAAGCCUGGCUUGGUAUUGGGCGACGGGGUGGUCCACGCCGCCCCCCGCCCCAAAGACCUUCCGGCGGGACGGACCGAAUCUCAGCGUUGUGCAAACUGGUCGCUGACGAGACGGGACGGCCGUGCCGUUAAAACCUUUCUUUGAGGUUGACCUCGGAUCAGGUAGGGAUACCCGCUGAACUUAAGC